rnacentral:rRNA from 1 species
AGAGUUUGAUCCUGGCUCAGAGUGAACGCUGGCGGCGUGCCUAACACAUGCAAGUCGAACGAGAACGGGUUAUAGCUUGCUAUAACUGUCAGCUAAGUGGCGCACGGGUGAGUAAUAUAUAGUUAACCUGCCUCAAAGAGGAGAAUAAUUGUUGGAAACGACUUGUAAUGCUCUAUAUGCCUUUAUCACAUAAGUGAGCAAGGGAAAUAUUUAUAGCUUUGAGAUGGGACUGUACGGUAUCAGUUAGUUGGUGAGGUAAUGGCUCACCAAGACUAUGACGCCUAACUGGGUUGAGAGGAUGAUCAGUCACACUGGAACUGAGACACGGUCCAGACUCCUACGGGAGGCAGCAGUGGGGAAUAUUGCACAAUGGAGGAAACUCUGAUGCAGCAACGCCGCGUGGAGGAUGACACAUUUCGGUGCGUAAACUCCUUUUAUUAGGGAGGAUAAUGACGGUACCUAAUGAAUAAGCACCGGCUAACUCCGUGCCAGCAGCCGCGGUAAUACGGGGGGUGCAAGCGUUACUCGGAAUCACUGGGCGUAAAGAGCACGUAGGCUGAUUAGUAAGUUGGAAGUGAAAUCCUAUGGCUCAACCAUAGAACUGCUUCCAAAACUGCUUAUCUAGAGUAUGGGAGAGGUAGAUGGAAUUUCUGGUGUAGGGGUAAAAUCCGUAGAGAUCAGAAGGAAUACCGAUUGCGAAGGCGAUCUACUGGAACAUUACUGACGCUGAGAUGCGAAAGCGUGGGGAGCAAACAGGAUUAGAUACCCUGGUAGUCCACGCCCUAAACGAUGCACACUAGUUGUUGCUAUGCUAGACAUAGCAGUAAUGCAGUUAACACAGUAAGUGUGCCGCCUGGGGAGUACGGUCGCAAGAUUAAAACUCA